GGAUAGCUGGAGCCCAUUACGAGUUCUAUCAGGUAAAGCCAAUGAUUAGAGGCAUUGGGGACGCAACGUCCUCGACCUAUUCUCAAACUUUAAAUAGGUAGGAUGGCUCGGCUGCGUAGGUGAGCCGUGCCACGGAAUCGGGUGCUCCAAGUGGGCCAUUUUUGGUAAGCAGAACUGGCGAUGCGGGAUGAACCGGAAGCCGGG
rnacentral:ncRNA from 1 species